rnacentral:rRNA from 1 species
UAGCCGUAAACGAUACUCGCUAGGUGUCGGCCACGGUGCGACCGUUGUCGGUGCCGUAGGGAAGCCGUGAAGCGAGCCACCUGGGAAGUACGGCCGCAAGGCUGAAACUUAAAGGAAUUGGCGGGGAGCACCACAACGGGUGGAGUUUGCGGUUUAAUUGGAUUCAACGCCGGAAAUCUUACCGGGACCGACAGCAACAUGAAGGCCAGGCUGAAGACUUUGCCGGAUUAGCUGAGAGGAGGUGCAUGGCGUAGUCGUGU